rnacentral:lncRNA from 1 species
UCAAUCGGGUGGGCGGCGUAUUUAUUCAGUAUAUUCUCUGAAAUUGCAAGUUCUGAAAUGUAUCAUUUUUUUGUGCAGUGAGAGAGCUGAAUGGGGCGAGGCUGGAGGCAUCGGUGAGGGCGUACGGUGGCGCCCGCCAGAGCAAGGUGUCCAACAAAUGGUUAGGAUGUUACCUCCGCCCGCGGGUUUGCGAUUCCCCUCGGUACGGGGGCGGUUUCUCUCUUACCUCCGCCCGCGGGUUUGCGAUUGGCGUGCCUAGGCUGUUUAGGAUGUUAGUUUAGAAGUAGAUUUUGGCUUGGUGGUUCCUUAAUUACCGUCUCCGGUGUAGAUUGCGUGGUUAGCCUCUCUGUUCUGGUAUUGGAUUUAGAUGAUGUAGUCUGUUUUGAUUUGAACCCAUCUACUACUGUUGUCAAACUACUGUUGUCAUUAACCUACUGUUGCUGUUGUUGUAGGAGAAGAAGGAGCACGCCUAGGAGAAGAAGGAGCAAGCCCAGGAGAAAAACAACGAGCAGGAGAAGAGGGGAGCAAGCCCAACUUAAACUAUUGUUGUUUAUGUUGUUACACGCUUGUUGAUCCGUCAGACUCCACGGCUGCUCCGCAUCGUCCACACAUGUCAUUUUUAUUAUCAAAAUCUGAAUUGUAGUAGUCAUAAUAUUGGGCUGUUGGGAGCCUCACCUUUUUGUGCACAAUACAUUUAGCACACAUGUCCACACUAAGUGCUUAUGAAAUAGCUAUGUGUCCUACACAAUAAGUGCUUGUUCAUGUUUGGUUUUCCCUAAACUUUGUUUGUAUGCUUGAGAGCAAAUUUAGUUGAUUCUUUGAUGAAGCACUAAGACUAUGCAUGGAACAUUAGUUUUUAAGAUCUAAAACUGCUCGUCGUUUCUGUGAUGAUGUAGUUUAGUAGAUCUCAACUGAACCAUGUCUGUAUUAUGUGCCAGUGUAGCUGUACUGAUUCUUUGGUUUUCAUCCGUGCAACAGAGGACAAGGGCGUCAUGGCCAACCAAGGCGCAUGGUGCUCGCAAGCAACGAGCGGAGGUUGUUUGACAUCGGCACGGAGGAGGAGGACGGGCACGGACGGAGGACAGAGCAUCUCUCUUCUUCCAG